rnacentral:snoRNA from 1 species
GCAUCGUUCGAAGCAGGAUCCGCGUUUCCCACGGUCGCGGCCCCUGUCAAAAGCGAUGCGCCAGUAACCCUGGUCUCAUUUAUAGGCAAUCGAGGGCGCUUCACCCUCCUUCGCUGUCGGAGGGGCCAGACACCU